GGACCCGCACAAGCGGUGGAGCAUGUGGUUUAAUUCGAUGCAACGCGAAAAACCUUACCUACUCUUGACAUACUUGGGAGCUCUUGUAAUGAGAGUGUGCCUAUUGGAACCAAGAUACAGGUGCUGCAUGGCUGUCGUCAGCUCGUGUCGUGAGAUGUUCCGUUAAGUCGGAUAACGAGCGCAACCCUUACCCUUAUUUGCCAGCGAGUAAUGUCGGGAACUCUAACGAAACUGCCAGUGCAAACUGUGAGGAAGGUGGGGAUGACGUCAAAUCAUCACGGCCCUUACGUCCUGGGCUACACACGUGCUACAAUGGCCGGUACAGAGAGCAGCCACUUCGCAAGAAGGAGCGAA
rnacentral:rRNA from 1 species